AGUGGAAUUUCUGGGUCAAAUGGAGGUUCCAUUCCACGUUUUUUGAGGAAGCUCCAUUCUGCUUUCCAGAGUGGUUGCACCAAUUUGCAAUGCCACUAGCAAU
rnacentral:pre_miRNA from 1 species